rnacentral:sRNA from 1 species
CUUCUUAUAUUCUCCCACUCUGUGUUCCACACUUGUGUAGUCUCUAAUGAUUCUUCUGCAUAGCUUCUUACAUUCUUCUGCUCUGUGUUCCACACUCACAUAGUCUCUAAUGAUUCUUCUGUGUAGCUCUCAAUGAUUCCCCCACUCCACAUUUCAUACUUGCAUAGCCUCUAACAAUUCUUACACAUACCUCUUAAUGUUCUUCCGCUCCGCACUCCACUGUGGAGCAGCUUCUGAUAUUCUUCCACCCUG